UAGGCGUAAAUGAUGCGAGUUAAGUGUGGGGGCGAUCUACGAGAUGGCCCUCGUGCUGUAGGGUAGCCGUUAAACUCGCUGCCUGGGAGGUACGGUCGCAAGGCUGAAACUUAAAGGAAUUGGCGGGGGGAGGCACCACAAGAGGUGGAGGCUGCGGUUCAAUUGGACUCAACGCCGGAAACUACAUCGGGAGCGACAGCAGUAUGAUUGCCAGGUUGAUGACCUUGCUUGACAAGCUGAGAGGAGGUGCAUGGCGUAGUCGUGU
rnacentral:rRNA from 1 species